rnacentral:rRNA from 1 species
UACGAAGGGGGCUAGCGUUGCUCGGAAUCACUGGGCGUAAAGGGUGCGUAGGCGGGUCUUUAAGUCAGGGGGGAAAUCCUGGAGCUCAACUCCAGAACUGCCUUUGAUACUGAGGAUCUUGAGUUCGGGAGAGGUGAGUGGAACUGCGAGUGUAGAGGUGAAAUUCGUAGAUAUUCGCAAGAACACCAGUGGCGAAGGCGGCUCACUGGCCCGAUACUGACGCUGAGGCACGAAAGCGUGGGGAGCAAACCGG